AACGAACGCUGGCGGCAUGCCUAACACAUGCAAGUCGAACGAGACCUUCGGGUCUAGUGGCGCACGGGUGCGUAACGCGUGGGAACCUGCCCUUAGGUUCGGAAUAACUCCCCGAAAGGGGUGCUAAUACCGGAUAAUGUCUUCGGACCAAAGAUUUAUCGCCAUUGGAUGGGCCCGCGUUGGAUUAGCUAGUUGGUAGGGUAAAAGCCUACCAAGGCGACGAUCCAUAGCUGGUCUGAGAGGAUGAUCAGCCACACUGGGACUGAGACACGGCCCAGACUCCUACGGGAGGCAGCAGUGGGGAAUAUUGGACAAUGGGCGAAAGCCUGAUCCAGCAUUGCCGCGUGAGUGAUGAAGGCCUUAGGGUUGUAAAGCUCUUUUACCCGGGAUGAUAAUGACAGUACCGGGAGAAUAAGCACCGGCUAACUCCGUG
rnacentral:rRNA from 1 species